rnacentral:rRNA from 1 species
AACGAACGCUGGCGGCAGGCUUAACACAUGCAAGUCGAGCGCGUAGCAAUACGAGCGGCAGACGGGUGAGUAACGCGUGGGAAUCUACCCAUCUCUACGGAAUAACUCAGGGAAACUUGUGCUAAUACCGUAUACGCCCUUCGGGGGAAAGAUUUAUCGGAGAUGGAUGAGCCCGCGUUGGAUUAGGUAGUUGGUGGGGUAAAGGCCUACCAAGGCGACGAUCCAUAGCUGGUCUGAGAGGAUGAUCAGCAACACUGGGACUGAGACACGGCCCAGAUUCCUACGGGGGGCACAAGGGGGAAAAAUUGGACAAUGGGCGAAAGCCUGAUCCAGCCAUGCCGCGUGAGUGAUGAAGGCCCUAGGGUUGUAAAGCUCUUUCACCGAUGAAGAUAAUGACGGUAGUCGGAGAAGAAGCCCCGGCUAACUACGUGCCAGCCGCCGCAGUAACAC